GCAGGUGCACGCGCAUCUGGCAUGGCUUCUUGUGGUCAGCUUCUCAGAGAUGCAGCUGUGAACAGCUUCCUUGUUUUGUGCUUCCAGAGGCUCAAGAACGCCAGUUCCUUCGUGGCCACUUUCCACCCCUGCGGACGAGUGACCUCGACCUGCUGGCAGAAGAGGAGACUGCAGAGGUGUCUGUAAGGCCAGGCAGCAGUUCAGAGCACCCCAAGUCCAGCAGCGCUUCCCCCCACUGAAGAACACCCCCCAGGAGGGGGAGAAAGCGCAGCCAGGAAAAAUCUCCAGCAAGGAGACAAGCAAAGAGAUUGCUUCCCACCUUCGUCGAGCAGAGAAUGGGAGGACAGUGGCCCCACCAGCAGAGAUGGCAGUGCCCACUGUCCAGUCACUACGGGCAAGACAGGUCCUGGGAACCUUGGAGUCCUACAAGGUGUGCCGGGAAGGAUGGAGGAAGAAGGUGGAGGAAAACAGGCUCCUUCCUGCCAGACCCAAGGAGCGCCUCUGCUUUGUGAAGAAGAUGGAGCUCCAGGAGGCCAGAGGAAAACACAAGAACAUGUGAGAGCACACCACGGGCUCACAGUUCGGCCAAUUUCUACCGCACCCACUCACACCAUGGCAGUAAACAACGAAGCCCCAGGAUUGACAGCAGUGGGGCUGAGAGGAGGCACAUUGAUACAGGAGCUGCCUCCCUUGUUACCACCAUUGUCUCUGC
ensembl:lncRNA